AUUGAACGCUGGCGGCAGGCCUAACACAUGCAAGUCGAGCGAGCGGCGGACGGGCGAGUAAGGUAUGGGGACUGCGCGAUCGAGGGGGAUAACUACUGGAAACGGUGGCUAAUAACGCAUACUACAGGAUAACCCAUAUGGGUUUAGCGAGUUGGUGGGGUAAAGGCUCACCAAGGCGACGAUCUCUAGCUGGUCUGAGAGGAUGAUCAGCCACCCUGGGACUGAGACACGGCCCAGACUCCUACGGAGGCAGCAGUGGGGAAUAUUGCACAAUGGGCGAAAGCCUGAUCCAGCAAUGCCGCGUGUAUGAAGAAGGUCUUCGGGUUGUAAAGUACUUUCAGUGGGGAGGCGUUACCCGCAGAAGAAGCACCGGCUAACUCCGUGCCAGCAGCCGCGGUAAUAC
rnacentral:rRNA from 1 species